AAAGAAGAUAGGCUGUAGUCUCAGCAGCUACUUGUGCUGGCAGGAGCAAGUAUCUGCCUAAAAGCAAAACCAGGAAAACAUCCAUUUGAUAUACUUUCCAAAAUGCAGCUUGAUUCAGUCAAGGUUCUUUUCAUGCUCGGCUCCUUUGUUUUAGACCUACUACUGCUUGUUUUUCGAAUUGACUAUUUGCUGCAGGAAUUUUGUUUUAAUUUAACAGGCAGCUGGAGCUUAUUAAACACGAUUUUCCGUGGUAGUAUUUUAUAUCAGUACUUGAUAAUGGGACACCUGUAAACACCCUCUAUAACAAGCACCUUUAGGCACCCAUGGAAUCCGCCUGCUGCAGUUAGCCUGGCAGGGAUGCUGGGUAACAACAGCACAGCAGCUUAAGCCCAAACUUUCUUCAAUGCAUUUUCCUCCUGCUUUCUAAUCUCUCCUGACAAUGUUGAAAGUUAUUACUUAGCUGCAUAAAGAAAACCAUCUGUCAAUUAUUUACCUGCUUGCAUGUGGGAUCAGGUACCCAGAAGCUGUUACUGCAAGCCAAGGCAAAUUCCCAGCUUCCAAGAAAGCAGAAAUCCAAUUGCAGUCAUCUGAUUCAACUGUCUAUCUGGGCAGUGAACCUGCUCUCCUCCACUACUUCCAGUUACAUACUCUUUACUCUGGAUGAAAUGGAACCCUACAACACACAGGGCUUCAAUAGAUGGCAACUUCAAUGAAAGGGAGGAAGAAAAACCAGAGCUCUGCACCAGCCAGUGAUGGGAAUGGAAACAUCUCUCUGUUCCAUCCAAAUGUAAUCUCCAGACCAGCCUUCCCUCACACUGCUCUUUCAGGCAGUGAUACGUUGGAAAGGAUUUCACAGCUUC